AUUGAACGCUGGCGGCAUGCCUUACACAUGCAAGUCGAACGGCAGCACGGGGCAACCUGGUGGCGAGUGGCGAACGGGUGAGUAAUGCAUCGGAACGUACCUUUCAGUGGGGGAUAACGUAGCGAAAGUUACACUAAUACCGCAUAUUCUGUGAGCAGGAAAGCAGGGGAUCGCAAGACCUUGCGCUGAUUGAGCGGCCGAUGUCAGAUUAGCUAGUUGGUGAGGUAAAGGCUCACCAAGGCGACGAUCUGUAGCGGGUCUGAGAGGAUGAUCCGCCACACUGGAACUGAGACACGGUACAGACUCCUACGGGAGGCAGCAGUGGGGAAUUUUGGACAAUGGGGGCAACCCUGAUCCAGCCAUGCCGCGUGAGUGAAGAAGGCCUUCGGGUUGUAAAGCUCUUUCGGCCGGGAAGAAAUCGCACGGGCUAAUACCCUGUGUGGAUGACGGUACCGGAAUAAGAAGCACCGGCUAACUACGUGCCAGCCGCCGCAGUAACAC
rnacentral:rRNA from 1 species